GUGGGGAAUAUUGGACAAUGGGCGCAAGCCUGAUCCAGCCAUGCCGCGUGAGUGAUGAAGGCCUUAGGGUUGUAAAGCUCUUUUGUCCGGGAAGAUAAUGACUGUACCGGAAGAAUAAGCCCCGGCUAACUUCGUGCCAGCAGCCGCGGUAAUACGAAGGGGGCUAGCGUUGCUCGGAAUCACUGGGCGUAAAGGGCGCGUAGGCGGACUUUUAAGUCGGAGGUGAAAGCCCAGGGCUCAACCCUGGAAUAGCCUUCGAUACUGGGAGUCUUGAGUUCGGAAGAGGUUGGUGGAACUGCGAGUGUAGAGGUGAAAUUCGUAGAUAUUCGCAAGAACACCGGUGGCGAAGGCGGCCAACUGGUCCGAAACUGACGCUGAGGCGCGAAAGCGUGGGGAGCAAACAGGAUUAGAAACCCCUGUAGUCC
rnacentral:rRNA from 1 species